rnacentral:rRNA from 1 species
UACAGGGGGUGCAAACGUUGCUCGGAAUCAUUGGGCGUAAAGCGCACGUAGGCGGUCUGUUAUGUCGGAUGUGAAAGCCCUCGGCUUAACCGAGGAAGGGCAUCCGAAACUGGCGGGCUUGAGUACGGAAGAGGGUCUCGGAAUUCCCGGUGUAGAGGUGAAAUUCGUAGAUAUCGGGAGGAACACCAGUGGCGAAGGCGGAGACCUGGGCCGAUACUGACGCUGAGGUGCGAAAGCGUGGGGAGCAAACAGG